AACAAUGUUGUGUCCUAAGGCAAUCCUACCAACAACACUCAUAUCCAACAUACUAGUGAUCAUUCUACACAGAGUUUAAUAAGGAAUUUAACUCACAAAAGCCUACUGCAAUGAACUAUAUCUUAAUGCUGAAUAGUACUCUAAUAGCCUAAUUACUACUUGCAGAAUGGUUGCUUUUUUUCUUUCUUGGUACAGCAGAAUGGUAGCUUUUGGAGCAAUUGGCCAGUGUACUAGCUACAUCACCCGAGAAUCUUGUGAGGAUGGCAUCAUGCUUGAGGGGUAUCUCCGGAAAUUUAACUCUCAGACACUGUAGACACUAGCGGUGCUUUAGCACUCCACCGUAGUCUGCAGGUGCGACCAUCUUCUUUUUGGACUCGGAGCCAAGCCUGCUCACCUUGGUAUUUCCUCGCUUCUCUCUCUCUCUCUCUGUGCGUGUAAAGAAGAUUACCAAGAGUGUAGCCCUAAAGAUUUCUAAACAGCAACAAAUCAAAACCCUAGGAAAGAGAUUUGUUAGUCACGUAUGACACAAAACAUAUGAGUUAUAUUCCUGAUGAUUCCAUGGAAAUACGUACGGAAGCCUUGGUUGGACCAAAACAUCAGGCUCCCAUGUUUUUGGAGUUUCCAGGAUCCAAGAUGACUACCGAAGGUAUAGGAUAGAUUGGGUUUUUGUUUCAUUUAAUGCCAAACGCUUGUUGGGGAACAAAACAGCAAAUAUGUCGAGAUUUUUUCUCUUUUUUUUUUGUGUUUUUAGAUUAAAAAGGUUGGUUGUAGUGAAAAAGCCUUUCCGUGGCUAAUCCUUUUCCAUUUGGAACAGGAAAGGUGGGUUUCGUGCUUUGUUUUUGGUGGGUAAGUUGCUAGUAGGAUCUUGCUAAGACCAUCUUUUGGUCUUCUUAUCUUUCUGAAGCUCAGUUUUUGGUGUCUCUCUUAACCCAAGAAGAUAUAUAUAGUAUGCAUCCGGUUUAAGGUGUGGGGGGUUUUCAUCAAAAAAAAAAAAAAACGGUGUGGUGGCUUUUCUUGCAGCAAAUGCAAGAAGAUACAAAGCUUUGUCUGUCAGAGGUUAUUGGUUUUGGGUGUUAAUGUUGCAGUAGGACCCAAGCUAGAAGGAUUAGAAUAUUCUUCUUCGCCUAUUUGCUAGUUAAGUAAAAGAAUUGUAUUCCAGUUGGUAGCCUAUUCUUUUAUUUCCAUAUACAUAGGAAAAGAGUUGGAGGUCCGAGGGUUUUAGCUUCUCCACCCACAAAAGAAGAAGAAGAAGAAGCUUUGUAGAUACACAUGGGUUCACAUCUUUGCUUUAUUUUGGCAGGCAAUACUAAGAAACGGCUCACAGAAGAACAAGAAACAAGAAUCUCUAGUUGUUACCUCGUGAAAGCUCUUGGUUUCCCAUGUAGGUCGGAGGUGAAAGAGGCUUGCAAAGUCCCUCCUUGCUUGCAGCUUACAUGGAGACGCGCUUUUGAACUAAAGCUUUUGGGCAGCUUGAGAUAUGUCGUUUAGCCUGUUGUCAGAGAAUUAUUCUUGUCUGCGUUUUGAGAGGAUCUAUCUCUUGGAAAAUGCAAGGAGUUUGGGCGUAGCUGUCCUACUCCUCUUAGUAAUUGUAUGUACCAUGGAGAAAAAUGGGCAGGCUCGCUUUGAAUCCAUUUGUUUCACCAAGAAUGUAGAUUAAAGGGAAGAAAAGAAAAUCUCAU
rnacentral:lncRNA from 1 species